GCUUACUUAUUCACUUCAUCAUUCAUAUUUAUAUUGAUAAAUUAAUUAAAAUAUAUUAUAUUUUAUAGUAUAUAUACUCAAAAUUCUGUCAUCAUCAAAAGAAAAGAGAUUGUUGAUCAUGUAAUUGAUUUUGAUGAUUACAAAAUAUUGAGUAAUUAUGUACUAAUUAUGCAUUUCAAGGAUAGAUGUAAGAUUGAAAAAAUUAUCUAUGAAAGAAAUCCUCUC
rnacentral:lncRNA from 1 species